UGCAGGCACAGUGAAGUACAAGGUUAGAAUCUGAAACAAUUCUGACAAAUUGGAAGAGUAGCCUGGGAAAAUGGAUGUGAUUCAGUAAAGAUAAACAUGAAGUUUUACACUAGAUAGGAACAAUCAUCUGCACAGAGAAUGAAGAGCAUCUGGCUAAAGAUCUGGGAGAUGUAGGAAUUGUGGAGUGCAUCUAAAAUCUCAAUAUCAUGCUGCCCCAGAUGACCAGAGGCCCACUCCUGUUCUGAUUUAAGUACAUGGAAGCAGUCAUAUUGGCUUCAGCGGUGUGAGAUCAAAUCUCCUAUGGUUCCCAAGCACCAGAGUUACACUUUGAUCCAUUUCUUACUAACAAUACACAACUGUUCCGGCUGCAACAAAAUUAAAGAGUAACAAAAGGCAAGCACUGAAGCAGCAGAAGUAUGAGACCUCCUCUGUUAAAAUUCAAAUGGAUCUUCAAGGAUCAAGACUAGAUAUGCAGGACUUUAGUGCAUAUAUCACUGACUAUUACAGAUAAUGUGAUACUUUGGUAUAAAUGAUGUUUCAUUUCAUGGUUGGUCAGUCUCACUUCUGCAAAGUUUCAAUGACACCCAAAACUAAAAGCAAAUAUUUGCAAUUCCCAGUCUAUUUCCAGGGAAUAAUUUAUUGGGAAUAACACCUCUAGUUGCUCUCCAUCUAGCAUUAUCUCUAUGUUAAAAUUGCCCUGUUUCUAUCCUAAACAUUUUCCUUUGGAGUGUUACUGACUUUGAUGUACUUCAUGUACACACAUGUACACACAUGUAUUUCAAUGCUGCAUAGUAUAAAUGAACAUCAAUUUCCAAUGAAAAGUGUGACAUGAGACAGUAGUGUGCUCUUGUAGCCUGGAAAGCCAAAAGUAUCCUGGGCUGCAUCAAAAGAGGAGUGGACAGCAAGGAGAGGAAGGUGAUUGUCCACCUUCUACUCUACCGUUGUGAGGCCCCAUCUAGAGUAAUGCAUCCAGGCCUGGGGCUCCCAGCACAGUAAUGAUGUGGAGCUGCUGGAGGGUCUCUAGAGGUGGGCCACAAAAGUGAUCAUAGAGUUGAAGCUUCUCUUCUACUAAUAAUGGCUGAGGGAGCUGGGCUUGUUCAGUGUAGAGAAAGGAAGGCUCUGGGGAGAUCUCAUUGUGUCCUUCCAGUACUUAAAAGGAACUUAUAAGUAGGAGAGUGGCUGACUUUACAUGAUCUUAUAGUGACUGGACAAGGGAAAAAGAUUUUGAAGAAAAAGAGAAGAAAUUAAGUUAGAUUUUAGGGGAAAAUUUUUUACCAGGAGGGUGGUGAGGCACUGGUGCAAGCUGCCAAGAGAAGCUGUGGGUGCCCCAUCCCUGGAGGUGU